CGAAACCGAUAGCGAACAAGUACCGUGAGGGAAAGUUGAAAAGUACUCUGAAUAGAGAGUUAAAUAGUACGUGAAACCGCUUAGGGGUUAAGCCCGAUGAACCCGAAUAUCUGAUGUGAGAAAUUCAAUACAAUUCAAAUUCAUAUUUUUAUAUUGGAUUUGUAUAGUAUGCACUUUUCUCAUAGUAAGACAUUGUAAUCCAUUGAUAUUAUAUCUCAUUUAUGAGAUGAUUUAACAUAUGGACAAAAUGUUUAUGAUUAUUCUAUCAGUGAUAUGUUUACAUGUCAUAUGAAUAAAAUCGUUUUGUUUCCUGUUUAAAUAGUCGAUGGAUUUUUCAUUGAAAUCAUGUUUGCAAUUUAUUUUGCGUUUCGUAUCAUUAAUUUUUAAUUUUUGAUAGCAGAAAUGGCAUGUAUUCGAUUAACAAUGCGAUAGAUUUGGGAUACUUUCAGGACCCGUCUUGA
rnacentral:rRNA from 1 species